rnacentral:misc_RNA from 1 species
AAGUCGUAACAAGGUCUCCGUUGGUGAACCAGCGGAGGGAUCAUUACAGAGUUGCAAAACUCCCUAAACCAUUGUGAACCAACCCCUAAACAGUUGCUUCGGCGGGUGGCCGGGCCCCCCCGAGGGCCCUGCCGCCGAGCCCGCCGGAGUCGAACCAAACUCUUGUUUACCACUGGCCUCUCUGAGUACUGUACUUUAAAUAAGUCAAAACUUUCAACAACGGAUCUCUUGGUUCUG